rnacentral:tRNA from 2 species
GCGCCGGUAGCUCAGGGGAUAGAGCAAUAGUCUUCGGAACUAUCGGUCGGGGGUUCGAAUCCCUCCCGGCGCACCA